UACGUAGGGGGCAAGCGUUGUCCGGAUUCAUUGGGCGUAAAGAGCUCGUAGGCGGCUUGGCAAGUCGGGUGUGAAAACUCCAGGCUCAACCUGGAGACGCCACCCGAUACUGCCAUGGCUAGAGUCCGGUAGGGGACCACGGAAUUCCUGGUGUAGCGGUGGAAUGCGCAGAUAUCAGGAGGAACACCGGUGGCGAAGGCGGGUCUCUGGGCAGUAACUGACGCUGAGGAGCGAAAGCGUGGGGAGCGAACAGG
rnacentral:rRNA from 1 species